GGUUGUAGCUCAGUGGUAGAGUGUUCCAGCCUGGCAUGUGCAAGGCCCUGGGUUCAAUCCUUAGAACCA
rnacentral:tRNA from 1 species